CGUAGACGACGCUGGCGGCGUGCCUAACACAUGCAAGUCGAGCGGGACAUUGCGACGGAGACGAAGUACUCGUACGGAGUACAAAGAUGUAAUGUUCUAGCGGCGGACGGGUGAGUAACGCGUGAGCAACCUCGUCCCGUUAACGAGGGGGAUAACACAGCGAAAGUUUGUACUAAUACCGCAUAAGACCACAGAGUGACAUCGCUCAGGGGUCAAAGGAGCAAUCCGGUAAGGGGUGGGCUCGCGUCCGAUUAGAUAGUUGGUGAGGUAACGGCCCACCAAGUCGACGAUCGGUAGCCGACCUGAGAGGGUGAUCGGCCACAUUGGGACUGAGACACGGCCCAAACUCCUACGGGAGGCAGCAGUGGGGAAUAUUGGGCAAUGGGGGAAACCCUGACCCAGCAACGCCGCGUGAGGGAAGAAGGUUUUCGGAUCGUAAACCUCUGUCCCAGGUGAAGAGGAAGAGACGGUAGCCUGGGAGGAAGCCCCGGCUAACUACGUGCCAGCCGCCGC
rnacentral:rRNA from 1 species